rnacentral:rRNA from 1 species
UACGAAGGGGGCUAGCGUUGUUCGGAAUUACUGGGCGUAAAGCGUGCGCAGGCGGUUCGCCAAGUCAGGUGUGAAAUCCCCGGGCUUAACCUGGGAAUGGCGAUGGUGACUGCAAGGCUAGAGUUUGGCAGAGGGGGGUAGAAUUCCACGUGUAGCAGUGAAAUGCGUAGAGAUGUGGAGGAACACCGAUGGCGAAGGCAGCCCCCUGGGUCAAGAUUGACGCUCAUGCACGAAAGCGUGGGGAGCAAACAGG